rnacentral:rRNA from 1 species
UAAUACGGAGGGUGCAAGCGUUAAUCGGAAUUACUGGGCGUAAAGCGCUCGUAGGCGGCUUGUUAAGUCGGAUGUGAAAGCCCCGGGCUCAACCUGGGAACUGCAUUCGAUACUGGCAAGCUAGAGUAUAGUAGAGGCAAGUGGAAUUCCGGGUGUAGCGGUGAAAUGCGUAGAUAUCCGGAGGAACAUCAGUGGCGAAGGCGACUUGCUGGACUAAUACUGACGCUGAGGAGCGAAAGCGUGGGGAGCAAACGGGAUUAGAUACCCCGGUAGUCCACGCCGUAAACGAUGUCAACUAGCCGUUGGGGGGCUUAGUCCCUUUAGUGGCGCAGCUAACGCAUUAAGUCGACCGCCUGGGGAGUACGGUCGCAAGACUA